CGGAUAUUCAAACGCGCCAACUGUGUAUUGUCCCCUCUCUUCCAAUUCAACGCGGCAUCACUAAUGUGAGUCAUGUGACCAAUCUAUCAUUUUUGGAACCGACAGAGUAAAAAAUUGCCGAUCAUCCCGAUGGGCUAAUACACAAUCCUGAUCGAACAAUCGAUUCUCAUUUCAUUUCGAUUCCCAGCUGUGUAGUAGAUCCGAGUUUUUCUUUGUUUCUUCAUCGAUCGUAGGGUUAGGGUUUUAGGGUUCGAAGAGCAUCGGAAAAUGGCCUUCGUUGCCCGCCGGCCGUGAAUUACUCACCGCCUUCCCGUGAUCCAAUCUGACGU
rnacentral:lncRNA from 1 species